GCUGGGCAUGGUGGCGGGUGCCUGGAAUCCCAGCUACUCAGGAGGCUGAGGCGGGAGAAUUGCUUGAACCCGGGAGGUGGAGGUUGCAGUGAGCCAAGAUCGUGCCACUGCACUCUAGCCUGGGUGACAGAGCAAGACUCCGUCUCGG
rnacentral:SRP_RNA from 2 species